rnacentral:lncRNA from 1 species
AUUGGAAGUGCAAAUAUCAAUUAAGGUGGCUGAUUAAGAAACCUUGCUAGUUAACAUGAUUCAUAAACACAAAAGGAAAAAUCAUUGGUGAUGAUCAGUGGACUAUGACAAGGUCUCAACGCAAAUAAAAUAAAACUCAAAUGAAAGACAUUCAAAUGAGGGUGCAAAUGAAUUCAGUGAGUACGUUUUGUGGAUUUUUUUUUUUUUUUUUUGGCAUGGUUCUGUUCUAAGGUACAUGCUGAGUUUAAGCCUUCUAUUUAUUCUGAAUUGUAGCUUUCUCUGUCUGAGUUGGUAAAUGGUAAUUUUGAGACUACACUAAAGCAUAGUUUUCCUCCUGGAGGAAUACACCGUGGGGGUGGGGUGGGGACAGUGUUUACUUAACUCCCUUGGUUUCUUAUGAUUGACCCUGACACUAUGGGCAGACUCACCUCAUUUUGUGCAUUGGUCUGUAAUCUUCUUUCAAAGGUACAUACAAUAUCAUUCUGGCUCUUUCUGAUUAAAGAAAUCUCUGUACGUUUGUCACUUCAGUAUUCUCAGUGGUAUAUUUAGACUUAAUUUUUCAUGUAAUAUUAAAAAGGUGGGCUGCAAUGCACACAUUUUGACUGUUUAUCAUCAGAGAAUAAUCAGAAAGAUGUUGAUUUAUGGAAAUGUUGCCAUUACUAAUUGCUAUUGAUGGUGUGUAAUGAGAGCUGAAGAGAAUGUUCAAAUGACCUUGUUGGUUCACCUUUUACACAAUUACUUAAUCAUCGGUUACAGUAAAGGAUGUUAUGCAGAGAAAUUGAAAGUGUUUGAUAUUCAUUCAUAUCCUCCAAUUAAUAACACAUUAAAUAAUUAAUCAUGCAAAGAAGGGAAAAGGUCAUGGACAUGUUAUUAUUAUUUUUUAUUUUUUGCAGAAUGUAACUAUGUUUAGUCUAAGGAAACGUCAAAGAAAUACCCAUAUGUAUUCCUGUUUUAUUAACCUGUUUUAUAUACAUGUGAUUGUAGAUGUAGGUUCACAUGCACAUGUGUGUUUGUGCAUGUGGCAGCAAGAGGACAAACUUGGGUUUCUCUUCUAAGGAAUCUUCCAUCUUGGUUUUUGAGACCGAAUCUUAAGAUAGCCUGGAGCUUGAAGAGUUGGCUUAUUUAGCUGACCAAUGUGGAUUCUCUUGUCUCACCCUUUUCAGUUAGGAUUAUAAACUUUCAAGCUUUGGUAUGAGCACUAGAAAGAAAGUUCCCAUACCUGUAUGAUAAGUACAUUAUUAAUUGAAGUAUCUCCUCUAGCCCUGUUCAGUUUUUUAUAAGAUAUUUUCUCCAAUUUUCCUGCUAAUAUUUUUAAAAGAACCUACUAAGCAUUAAUCUGCCAAUAUAUUGGCUAAAAGGACAUAAUUAGACAUACUAGAUUUUCAUGAUCUUCCUGGGGACUUGGCUCAGCUGCUAAAAACACUUGUUCUUUUAGAAACUAGAGUUUCAUGCUCAGCACCCAUAGCUCAUAACUUUUUACCACUCCAGUUCUAGGAUAUCUGAUGCCCUCUUCUGACCUCCAUGGGCACCAGACAUGCGCAUGCUACAUACACAUAUAUGUAUGUACAACACUCAUAUACAUAAAAUAAAUAGUAUUUUAAAAAUUUCAAAUGACCCAUCUUUUCUUUGUUCAUACAAAUAGGUAGGCCUACUUACUUUAUUUAC